UACGUAGGGUGCGAGCGUUUAAUCGGAAUUACUGGGCGUAAAGCGUGCGCAGGCGGUUCGUUAUGUCCGAUGUGAAAGCCCCGAGCUUAACUUGGGAAUGGCAUUGGAAACUGGGCGGGCUGGAGUGCGGCAGAGGGGGGGUGGAAUUCCACGUGUAGCAGUGAAAUGCGUAGAGAUGUGGAGGAACACCGAUGGCGAAGGCAGCCCCCCUGGGUCAAGAUUGACGCUCAGUGCACGAAAGCGUGGGGAGCAAACAGG
rnacentral:rRNA from 1 species